rnacentral:rRNA from 1 species
GUCGAACGCUGGCGGCGGGCUUAACACAUGCAAGUCGAACGGUAAGGGCCUGCUUUUGUGGGGUGCUCGAGUGGCGAACGGGUGGGUAACACGUGAGUAACCUGCCGUUGACUUGGGGAGAACUACUGGAAAAUAGGGCUAAUACCGGCGAGGAGCGCCGGCUGCACGGUGGGGGUGGGAAAGGUUCGGCGGUUGGGGGUGGACUCGCGGCUGAUCAGCUUGUUGGUGGGGUAGUGGCUUACCAAGGCUUUGACGGGUAGCCGGCCUGAGAGGGUGACCGGCCACAUUGGGACUGAGAUACGGCCCAGACUCCUACGGGAGGCAGCAGUGGGGAAUAUUGCACAAUGGGCGGAAGCCUGAUGCAGCAACGCCGCGUGCGGGAUGACGGCCUUCGGGUUGUAAACCGCUUUCGCCUGUGACGAAGCGUGAGUGACGGUAAUGGGUAAAGAAGCACCGGCUAACUACGUG